AUUUGGAAUGGGACAAGAACGACAUCUGGGGAUUUUUACUGUCCUCUGUACUUCUGUUCUUGAGUAUUGGAACUGGUCUUCGGCAGUGAAAGAUGACAUAGACGGGUACACGAGAGUUCAAGUAUGGUCAAGAUAUUACUUAAUUCGGAUAACAACGUCAUGAAAUACGUCACCUCCUGUCGGAAACACGCCUCCUUUCCGAUGUUGAUGUUUAGAACUUUGUUGUACGAGAUUAAUUAUAUUUUAUAAAUAUUUAAAAAUGCCUAUUUUGAUAAAUGUAUUAAUAGUUAUACAUAUAAUUGCACGUGGUCGAUGUAAACAAUACCAGCAAUAUAUCAUGAUGUAAAUAGUAUUCUAGCAUGCAAUAUCAGACUUUUACAAGACUUGUUAGUGUUUUUUGUUUGUUUGUGGUUUGUGGUUUGUUUGCCUCAAGAAAAAAUAAUAUUGCUAUGGAUCUACUAAAAUGUUACAAAGCUUUUAAUGUGGUUUGACUAGUUCGUGUUUCUUGUUUGUCUUGGAAAAAAAGAAUCUAGCUCUAAAUCUAAUAAAAUAUAAGCAUAA